GGGCUGACCAGCCCCACUAAGGAGAAGGGCAUCCACAAGUCUGGGACAGAAGGGAGGACUCACCUUACAAUGUGGAGCCCAGAAGUGGGCUGGUGACCCUGCCGUACACAAUGUGAGUCACCAGAAACAAUGCAGGAGGAGAGAGUGGACUCCACAAGACCAUGACUUCCUACCAGUGCUGAGUGCAGGUUCCCAGAAGGCACAGAAACCCUGUCUUGGUCGCAUGGGCUGCCCUGGCCAUGGGGAAGGAGCAUCAGAGAUGGGAAAUCCCAAAGCUCUGUUGAUGGCCUUCCACGGACCGAAGAAGAAUCUGAGAGUCAUCUUGGACCCUCUGCUUCCUCCUCCCUCCCUCCAUCCAUCUAGCUUUUCAUCAAGUUCUACUGAUUUUACCACAUACUUCCCUAAUCUCCCUCCUCCUUUCUGCAAGACUGAGAAAAUAGCGGUACCUACCUUGUUGGGUGGAGAUGAGGAUAAAAUGCCUUACAAAAGGGACCAAGGCAUUUAAUAAGUUAGCGAAUCUUAUUAGUAAAAGCCUGGAAUCCACCUAUGGACAAUGAAAGACUGAACUCUUCUAGCCAGAGAAAAGGUAGACACACUGCUAAGCACCAGGGUUUCCAAAUUAGCCAUUGAGUUCCAAUGGGAAAGAAAAAUGCAGAGAAAAUGGUCUGUGCUGUGUGUUUUUGGUGGAGGUGGCAAGGGGGUGUAGAAUGGGGAGUGGGGAGCAGACAGAUUGGGAAAAGAGCCAGAGAUUUGCAAGUCCAAAGGUAACAGAGAUGUGUGUCUUAGAACUUUCAGGACCUAGGGUGGGCCAUGGCGAUGUGAAUUCUGGGGGAAGCUGGACCCUCAAAACCCUGAUUUUGGGGUUCCAUGGCAAGAUUUGCAGAGAGGGUAGAAGAUCACCAUGAGGGACAGACAUUGCUGUGGGAGAUGGGACCAGCGCAGGCCAGACCACACCAUACCUGGAUUUCUUCACAAGUUCUAAACCAGACAAUUGACUGAGAAAGACUUUCUUAUCUACCUUUGCUAGAAGGAGCUCAAAUGGUCAUGAUUUGCUUUAGAAAAAUAAAGAAAGGUAAACCCUUCUCACCCUUCAGUGCUGAGGAAGAAUAUAUUACUUGCGUGUUUCUACUGUGACAAUAAAAUUCAUUUUACAA